CUAGCUAGAGGUGAAAUCAAGAGACAAAGACAAACAAUAUGACUGAUUAAAAAACUUGCAUUUUAAAAUUGCACCGACGUAUGGUAUUAGUUUAGCGAAAAGCCAUUCCGAGCUUUAGAAUAACAUUGCAUUUCUAGACUACACUACAGCUGACAGAAUUAACCAUUAGACAUAGUCUAGAGCCAUGGGACUUGUCCAUUUGAGUAUAUUUUGAGCCACCUUGAAUUUAAUAAUUAGCUAAGAUAAGAUUAAAAAAUGAUCCAGAAACACUAAACAAGAAACUCAAUAGAAUCAGAAUUCAGAAGUUAAUCCAGAGUUUGCAAAGUGCUGCAAGUCCAAAACUUAGGCGGGUGAGAUCAAUUAGGCCUUAACCUAAUAGAGCACAUACAACCUGCAAACCUCAUAGAAUGGACCUUACUCCGUACUCGAAAUUAGAAAACUAUGCUAAUUGAUUUCAAUUUCAUAGAUACUCGAAAUGCAGCUCUUUGUAUACAUGAAACAUAUAUGUAUGCAUGCACCUCAGGAGAUGCUCUUUUUGGCUGCCUGACUCGGUACUCCUUAAUCUACGACUCGCACCCGUCUUCUGCUCUUUGGAUUUUCCCCACAUCACAGCAUAGAAUCCAACAACAAUCACAAUUGCUCCAACAAAACUACAAUGUUUAGGUAAUAACGUUACUAAAGUAUCAUUUAUACUUGAAAAACAAUGACAUAACAAGGCAGGGAUGAAAUGAAUCCCGUUCAAUAACAUGAUCAGUCAAAUUCAUAACCACCUUAACGCUAGAACAAAAAAUUGUGGUAACCUACCUUCCAAGAUACAAGGUCUCGCUUAAGCAGACGGUUCCCACUGCAGCUGCAAUGACUAUGCCUAUGGGCUUGAACAUAGCAACAAAAACAGGCCCUGUCUGCCUCAGGCACCAUGUUGAAAUUCCAACUUGGAGUGCAGAGCCAAAAACUCCCUACAAUAUGACGGUGAAGAUUCUCAAUUUAUAGAAUGCUCUUUAGAAUAGUGUCCAUAUCAGAAUUAUAUGUGCUAAGUUGAAAUGCAAUGGCAGGAAUUCCUAUAUUCACAUUCACUAAAGCUCAUUAUGUUAGGUGCAGAAUAGAAUAAGCAAGUAUUAUUCGCUAACGAUAGGUUAUCUUAUCAACAUAAGAAAUGCAUUACGUUUAUUUACUUACCGAGUACAAAAUGGAAACAAAUCUUAUAUUAGGUCUUAAACUCCAAGAAGAAGGAUCUCGUUCAACAACCAAACAAACUAUUGCAGACAGAGUGGUCACAAAGAAGCAAUAAAAGAAGACAACAAUUAGCUCCGCCGAAUAUCUCUUGAGGAUCACUGCCUAAAAGGUUAAGAAUGCAAAAUUAGUAAAAUCUUCUAUUUCCAAAAAGUUCCCUUUCUGAGAAGGAUUUGAUCAACUUUACCUGUAUGAUAAUCCAUGCAGAAGUCAAGACACAAUCAAUUGCAAGUAGCAAUCCUCCAAUAAUCCAGUUUGAUGGUUGCAUAGAAAGUUGAUGAAAUGAAUUUAAAUUAGGUGUCAUGAAAAGCGGCGGACCUUUGUAAUAAGUUAAAAUGAACACUCCUCCAACUGAAAUUAUUGUUCCCAUGGAUUUAGCAAUGGAAGUAGAGGUUCUCCAGUCAAGUUUUUCCAUCCUAAAGCCAUAGAAUUAAUCAGUUUUAGCUCAUGCGUAGCAGUAAUUAUUUCAUUCUUAGCAGCAUUAGCAGUCUAUCAAUUGUUUCAGAAAAGGGCUUUUACUACCAUUUUGCUGAUCAUUACUCAUCUUCAAACCAUGAGUUCAGCAAAAAAUUAUGUUAGUGGAUAACAAUUUUCUUUUGUUGUUAUUCCUUCUUGGGAAAAAGAAAGUUCUUAAUGACAGGAAUUAGGAAAUCAAAUCCAUUAAGUUACAGUGCAGGACUCUUACAAUGAAGGCUGAGUAGAGAAGCUUCAAAGUACUAGAGCACUUAAAUUUGUUGUAGGGGUCGAGCUUAAUCAAACGAUUAUAGAUAAAUAAAACUAAGUAAAAACAAAGGUGACCUAAUUUACAACAAGUUAGCACACCGCUUCUCUUUCCAAGUUAUACCUCAAUCUUAUGAUAAGAAACACAAUGUCUUUAGUUUUAUUUUGAAGCUGCAUUCUCCCAAUAAACUACGGAUAAAACUUUGUGACUGUAAUAACAUAACCAAUAUGAUGUCUAUUCAGAAUUACUAAAUAAAGUAAGCAAUAUUUAACGAUUGUACUCUGAAGUUAGUAACUUUUAUCUUUGAAAUACUGAAUAGACUUUAGUUCUUGAUGAGGAAAAAAUGAAAAAACGCUUCACUUUCUUUGAUUUACUUAUACUGGAAGCAUACACGAGUCACAAGUGAUGUUCACAAUUGGUACAUGACGCAAGUUGAUUGGAAGAAUUUAUAUAGUCGGAUCGCAUUACUUAUUUGAAAAGUUUGUAUUUAAGAGCAUUGAUUUAUGAAUUUGCAGGGCAUUCGAAUGUACAAGCCAAGUCCAUGCUUUGUAAGGGAUGAGAACAUAGUCAGAGUCUAAUUUUAUUCCUUUUGGAGCUCAAUAGAAAAGGGAUCAUUUGUGUUUUGAAAAUUAAGAAGUAUAGUCUCCCUGAAAGUACAUAUACGGGAAUGGUUUAAGAGAAGGUGCUAUGACUAAUGAUUUAGUCAAUAGAUAAUGUUUACUCCAACGCAUUCUCACCAAAGCUUCCGAAAAAAAUCUUCUACGCAACAAUCAACCAGAAAACAUGCUGCUAAAACUUAAGGUAGAUGUCCACAAAACAAUCAAAUUUUCUAUGUUUUAUGCUGUCACUAUAAAUGCAAUACAUUCUGUAAUCUAACAUUUAAGUAAGCUAAGGUGAUGACAGCCUAAGUAGCACGGACACUUCAUUCAAUCGACAUUUCCCGAUUCAAAAACAUGUCUGAAAUUUGGCAUUUUGGACAUAAAACUUCAUUUUUUACAUAGAAAACUUUAAAAUAACAGUCUUUCGCCGUGUCCAAGUGUCAUGUUUAACCGUAUCCGUAUCUUUUCUAUCCGAAUAAUAUUAGUCAAGUAAUGCCAUUAAUUUCAAAAUACCCAUACCGUCUUCAGUAGUAACUAGAAUUCAAAGCAAUCAGAUAGAGUAAUGAAUCUAACCUGAAAGCAACAGCAAGUAUAAAGGUAAGACCAGGGACAAGAUUGAGAAUGGCAGUCCCAAGUGUAGGAGAACUAAGGUUAAUCCCAGCAUACCCAAAAAACUGAGCCAAGCACCUAAAAUUAAGCCAACACCAAUCAAGCCCAACACAAUAAAUUUCCUAAUCAAAAACAAAUUAAUCCACAAUUACAUACCCAAAUAAACCAAGCAAAAAGAAUCCACAAACAGUUGAAAAAGUCAGUGGAGGCCUCUCUGAUCUGCAAAUCAAUCACAAACAAUUAAAUAGUAAUAAAAAUAAAUAAAAUAAAUAAGAGUAUUACCUGUGAAAUAUCAAAGAAAUGGGGAGAAGAACCAGAGAAGCAAGGGCAUUAGAGUAAAAGACAAAGAUGAAGAUGCUCAUGCCUUUAGACAUGGCUACUUUGCUUAGAAUUAUGAGUCCAACUUGUGCAGUUUCUGCCAUUAUCAUCCCUAUAAAUGGUAAUGCUAAUUUGAUUUCCAUUUUUUUUAGUUUAAGUUCAGUCAUGUCCUAAUUAGUGUACACUGAGGAGUGAGUGUCCGGCCCGGAGAAGAUUUAGAGCAGACCAGUUUUUUUUGUAAUAAUUGAAGUAAGACCAGAGCAGUUUGAAUAUAGGGUCACGACAAGAUUCCAACAACUAAACAUUUAUAUUCCAGCGGAAUGGAAUCUCAUUGGUCUUGAAGAAAAUAGAAUCUCUGUUAUUCUUUGAUUGAGAAACUGUAGUGGUAGCAUUUUUACUUUUCAUUUGUUUCCUUUUUAGUGUUUAAACUUAAUUUUUAUUCAAUAUAGGCCUGAAACUAGCAAUUUUAAA